CUUUUCCUCUCUAUUUACCAUGUGUAUGUACACAUAUGUAUUUUACAUACAGUAGCAAUGCACUUUGUUUUUAAAGAUACAACUUGCAUUUUUCAGGUAUUUUUAAGUCUUUCCAUACGUCAUUCAAAAUCCGUGAAACUUUCAAAGGAUAAAGGAGAAACAGUCAAAGGAGCAGCUGAGAGGCCAAUGUUGCGGUUUUCUUGACUUCAGCUUCUAUUUUCCUGCCACAUGAAAAUGCCAACGCCUCAUUUGGGAGAUCUCACGGAGAGCCAGAGAAUGGUGGACACAGCUCAUCUCCUCAAACAUGACCAGAAUGAUUUAAAUACAGCUCAGAAUGAUACUGUUCUUCAGCGUUCUCAGGAAAUGAAGAGUAUUCAGCAGAAGAAAACAAACUAACUCAUCAUGCAAAUGACAAGGUAAUAAAUUAUAUAUAUAUGUGUUUGCA
rnacentral:lncRNA from 1 species